AUACGCUGCGAAAAGCCGUGGGGAGCUGCGAAUAAGCUUUGAUCCAUGGAUCUCCGAAUGGGGCAACCCACCUUAAAUGCUUAGAAAAUCAAGCGCGCCGCGAGGCGCGAGGCAUUAGCCAAUGGGCAAUGGGCAGUAGUGGAUUGAAAGAGAAACUAUUGCCUACUGCCUAAGACCUAUUGCCUGGAAGCGCGUCGAAGACGCGCUUGGUUUCUAAGCAUUGUUAUGAGGUAUCUUCACCUGAAUAAAAUAGGGUGUAAGAAGCGAACGCAGGGAACUGAAACAUCUAAGUACCUGCAGGAAAGGACAUCAACCGAGACUCCGCAAGUAGUGGCGAGCGAACGCGGACCAGGCCAGUGGCAAUGAGUGUUAAAGUGGAAGAACCUGGAAAGGUUUGCCGUAGAGGGUGACAGCCCCGUACGCGUAGAUACAUUCAUUGUCCUAGAGUAGGGCGGGACACGAGAAAUCCUGUCUGAACAUGGGGAGACCACUCUCCAAGCCUAAGUACUCGUGCAUGACCGAUAGC
rnacentral:rRNA from 1 species